AGUAGUUGACUCCGUGGCUACGAGGACGAACGCUGGCGGUGUGCUUCACACAUGCAAGUCGAACGAGGUAGCAAUACCUAGUGGCGGACGGGUGAGUAACGCGUGGGAAUCUGCCUUUAGAUGGGGGAUAACGGGUCGAAAGACUCGCUAAUACCGCAUAUGACGAAAGUUGAAAGGAGUAAUCCGUCUAAAGAUGAGCCCGCGUCCGAUUAGCUAGUUGGUAGAGUAAAAGCCUACCAAGGCGACGAUCGGUAGCUGGUCUGAGAGGAUGAUCAGCCACAAUGGGACUGAGACACGGCCCAUACUCCUACGGGAGGCAGCAGUGGGGAAUUUUACGCAAUGGGCGAAAGCCUGACGUAGCGACACCGCGUGAGCGAAGAAGCCCCUUGGGGUGUAAAGCUCUGUCAGCUGGAACGAAAAAAAUGACGGUACCAGCAGAGGAAGCAUCGGCUAACUACGUG
rnacentral:rRNA from 1 species